UACGGAGGGUGCAAGCGUUAUCCGGAUUUAUUGGGCGUAAAGAGCUCGUAGGUGGUUCGGUAAGUCGGGUGUGAAACCUCCAGGCUCAACCUGGAGACGCCACCCGAUACUGCUGUGACUGGAGUCCGGUAGGGGAGCGUGGAAUUCCUGGUGUAGCGGUGAAAUGCGCAGAUAUCAGGAGGAACACCAGCGGCGAAGGCGGCGCUCUGGGCCGGUACUGACACUGAGGAGCGAAAGCGUGGGUAGCAAACAGG
rnacentral:rRNA from 1 species